CCGGAAGGGUGGAGAAUCGCUCCUGGCCGUGAAAGCGGGCAGGGGAGGAAAGUCCGAACACCAUAGGGCGCGAUGCCGCGUAACCUGCGGGCCGACGCAAGAAGGUGCUGCGGGAUACACGCGGAGGACGACGCCGCGAGGCGUCUCCAUGGAAAGUGCCACAGAAAACAAACCGCCCGCUGGGAUUUCAAAAUUUGAGAUCUCAGAUGGGUAAGGGUGAAAAGGUGGAGUAAGAGCCCACCGCUCCGGGCGCAAGCACGGAGGCAUGGCAAACCCCAUCGGGUGCAAGGCCAAAUAGGGGACCUUGGAGCGGCCCGCUCCAUGUUUCGCGAAAGCGAGAUGGGUUCCGGGUACUGGCUGCUGAGACAAAUGAUUCUCUCCUCGGCCGCGGCAACGCGGUCGAGCAGACAGAAUUCGGCUUACAACCCUUCCGGAACC
rnacentral:RNase_P_RNA from 1 species